rnacentral:rRNA from 1 species
AGUGAAUAGAUACCCCGGUAGUCCACGCCCUAAACGAUGUCUACUAGUUGUUGGUGGAGUAAAAUCCAUGAGUAAACGCAGCUAAACGCGUGAAGUAGACCGCCUGGGGAGUACGGUCGCAAGAUUAAAACUCAAAGGGAUUGACGGGGGCCCGCACAAGCGGUGGAUUAUGUGGAUUAAACUCGAUGCAACGCGAAAAACCUUACCUGGCCUUGACAUGCCACUAACGAAGCAGAGAUGCAUUAGGUGCCCGUAAGGGAAAGUGGACACAGGUGCUGCAUGGCUGUCGUCAGCUCGUGUCGUGAGAUGUUGGGUUAAGUCCCGCAACGAGCGCAACCCUUGCCAUUAAUUGCCAUCAUUUGGUUGGGCACUUUAAUGGGACUGCCGGUGACAAACCGGAGGAAGGUGGGGAUGACGUCAAGUCCUCAUGGCCCUUAUGGCCAGGGCUUCACACGUAAUACAAUGGUCGGUACAGAGAGUUGCCAACCCGCGAGGGGAGCUAAUCUCAGAAAGCCGAUCGUAGUCCGGAUUGUUCUCUGC